CUGUCUGGCAUUAUUUUUUACGUGUUUUGUGUCUUCAUCCUACUUUUCUUUACCCCCUUGCGUCACACACUCACUCGCUCAUACACACACACACACUGACCAUAACACACACACACUGACCAUUACACACACACACACACUGCUAAUACACACACACUGGCUCUAACGCACACAGUCUCUUACACACUUGGACGGCUUAUACACACUCACCGGCUCUAACAGACACACACAAACAGUCUCUUACACACACUGCUUAUACACACUCACU